UAGGGAAUAUUGCACAAUGGGCGCAAGCCUGAUGCAGCAACGCCGCGUGCGCGAAGAAGGCCUUCGGGUCGUAAAGCGCUUUUCUGGAGGACGAGGAAGGACGGUACUUCAGGAAUAAGGAUCGGCUAACUACGUGCCAGCAGCCGCGGUAACACGUAGGAUCCGAGCGUUAUCCGAAUUUACUGGGCGUAAAGCGCGUGCAGGCGGCUGGGUAAGUUGGACGUGAAUCUCCCGGCUCAACUGGGAGGGGUCGUUCAAGACUGCCUGGCUAGAGGGCGGUAGAGGGAGGUGGAAUUCCCGGUGUAGUGGUGAAAUGCGUAGAUAUCGGGAGGAACACCAGUGGCGAAAGCGGCCUCCUGGACCGCCCCUGACGCUCAGACGCGAAAGCUAGGGGGAGCGAACGGGAUUAGAUACCCCGGUAGUCCUAGCUGUAAACGAUGUGGACUUGGCGUCGGUGGGGUAAAAUCCGCCGGUGCCGAAGCUAACGCGUUAAGUCCACCGCCUGGGGACUACGGCCGCAAGGUU
rnacentral:rRNA from 1 species